rnacentral:rRNA from 1 species
GUGGGGAAUAUUGGACAAUGGGGGGAACCCUGAUCCAGCCAUGCCGCGUGUGUGAAGAAGGCCUUUUGGUUGUAAAGCACUUUAAGCGAGGAGGAGGCUACCGAGAUUAAUACUCUUGGAUAGUGGACGUUACUCGCAGAAUAAGCACCGGCUAACUCUGUGCCAGCAGCCGCGGUAAUACAGAGGGUGCAAGCGUUAAUCGGAUUUACUGGGCGUAAAGCGCGCGUAGGUGGCCAAUUAAGUCAAAUGUGAAAGCCCCGAGCUUAACUUGGGAAUUGCAUUCGAUACUGGUUGGCUAGAGUAUGGGAGAGGAUGGUAGAAUUCCAGGUGUAGCGGUGAAAUGCGUAGAGAUCUGGAGGAAUACCGAUGGCGAAGGCAGCCAUCUGGCCUAAUACUGACACUGAGGUGCGAAAGCAUGGGGAGCAAACAGGAUUAGAUACCCGGGUAGUCC